rnacentral:tRNA from 4 species
GCCAGGAUAGCUCAGCUGGUAGAGCAGAGGACUGAAAAUC